rnacentral:misc_RNA from 1 species
CUGCAUAGGGUGGAGAGCAAA